rnacentral:rRNA from 1 species
GGAGGAAGGUGGGGACGACGUCAAGUCAUCAUGGCCCUUACGAGUAGGGCUACACACGUGCUACAAUGGCGCAUACAGAGGGCAGCCAACUCGCGAGAGUGAGCGAAUCCCAAAAAGUGCGUCGUAGUCCGGAUUGGAGUCUGCAACUCGACUCCAUGAAGUCGGAAUCGCUAGUAAUCGUAAAUCAAAAUGCUACGGUGAAUACGUUCCCGGGCCUUGUACACACCGCCCGU